rnacentral:rRNA from 1 species
GAUGAACGCUGGCGGCGUGCUUAACACAUGCAAGUCGAACGAAGAUGCCGGAGUGCUUGCACUUUGGCAGACUGAGUGGCGGACGGGUGAGUAACGCGUGGGUAACCUGCCUUAUACAGGGGGAUAGCAGUUGGAAACGACUGGUAAUACCGCAUAAGCGCACAGUACCGCAUGGUACAGUGUGAAAAACUCCGGUGGUAUAAGAUGGACCCGCGUCUGAUUAGCUAGUUGGCAGGGUAACGGCCUACCAAGGCGACGAUUGGUAGCCGGACUGAGAGGUUGAACGGCACAUUGGGACUGAGACACGGCCCAGACUCCUACGGGAGGCAGCAGUGGGGGAUAGUUGCACAAUGGGGGGGAACCCUGAUGCAGCGACGCCGCGUGGAGGAAGAAGGUCUUCGGAUUGUAAACUCCUGUUGUUGAGGAAGAUAAUGACGGUACUCAACAAGGAAAGUGAAC